rnacentral:rRNA from 1 species
UACGGAGGAUGCGAGCGUUAUCCGGAUUUAUUGGGUUUAAAGGGUGCGUAGGCGGUUUAUUAAGUCUGGUGUAAAAGGCAGUGGCUCAACCAUUGUAUGCAUUGGAAACUGGUAGACUUGAGUGCAGGAGAGGAGAGUGGAAUUCCAUGUGUAGCGGUGAAAUGCGUAGAUAUAUGGAGGAACACCGGUGGCGAAAGCGGCUCUCUGGCCUGUAACUGACACUGAGGCUCGAAAGCGUAGGGAGCAAACAGG